GAGGAUGUAGCUCAGUGGUAGAGCGCUCGCUUCACAUGCGAGAGGUCCCGGGUUCGAUCCCCGGCAUCUCCA
rnacentral:tRNA from 1 species